AUAUAUGAGACCGGCGCACGGGUGCGUAACGCGUAUGCAACCUACCUUUCACAGAGGGAUAGCCCAGAGAAAUUUGGAUUAAUACCUCAUAGUAUAACGAUGUGGCAUCACAAUGUUAUUAAAGUUCCAACGGUGAAAGAUGGGCAUGCGUCCCAUUAGCUAGAUGGUAAGGUAACGGCUUACCAUGGCAACGAUGGGUAGGGGUCCUGAGAGGGAGAUCCCCCACACUGGUACUGAGACACGGACCAGACUCCUACGGGAGGCAGCAGUGAGGAAUAUUGGACAAUGGGCGCAAGCCUGAUCCAGCCAUGCCGCGUGCAGGAUGAAGCAUCUAUGGUGUGUAAACUGCUUUUGUACGGGAAGAAACCCCGCCUCGUGAGGCGGAUUGACGGUACCGUAAGAAUAAGGAUCGGCUAACUCCGUGCCAGCAGCCGCGGUAAUACGGAGGAUCCAAGCGUUAUCCGGAAUCAUUGGGUUUAAAGGGUCCGUAGGCGGGCCUGUAAGUCAGUGGUGAAAUCUCCCGGCUCAACCGGGAAAUGGCCAUUGAUACUGCAGGUCUUGAAUUAUUAGGAAGUAACUAGAAUAUGUAGUGUAGCGGUGAAAUGCUUAGAGAUUACAUGGAAUACCAAUUGCGAAGGC
rnacentral:rRNA from 1 species